AGCGAACGCUGGCGGCAGGCCUAACACAUGCAAGUCGAACGGACCCUUCGGGGUUAGUGGCGGACGGGUGAGUAACACGUGGGAACGUGCCUUUAGGUUCGGAAUAGCUCCUGGAAUCGGGUGGUAAUGCCGAAUGUGCCCUUCGGGGGAAAGGUUUAUCGCCUUUAGAGCGGCCCGCGUCUGAUUAGCUAGUUGGUGAGGUAAUGGCUCACCAAGGCGACGAUCAGUAGCUGGUCUGAGAGGAUGACCAGCCACACUGGGACUGAGACACGGCCCAGACUCCAACGGGAGGCAGCAGUGGUGAAUCUUGCGCAAUGGGCGAAAGCCUGACGCAGCCAUGCCGCGUGAAUGAUGAAGGUCUUAGGAUUGUAAAAUUCUUUCACCGGGGACGAUAAUGACGGUACCCGGAGAAGAAGCCCCGGCUAACUUCGUGCCAGCCGCCGCGGUAA
rnacentral:rRNA from 1 species